AAUCAACGCUGGCGGCGUGCCUAACACAUGCAAGUCGAACGCGAGAGGGGCUUCGGCCCCGAUUGAGUGGCGAACGGGUGAGUAACGCGUGGGUGACCUACCUUCGAGUGGGGGAUAACGUCCCGAAAGGGACGCUAAUACCGCAUAACAUCCUGCUUUUGAAUGGGUGGAGAUCAAAGCCGGGGAUCGCAAGACCUGGCGCUUGAUGAGGGGCCCGCGUCUGAUUAGCUAGUUGGGAGGUAACGGCCCACCAAGGCAACGAUCAGUAUCCGGCCUGAGAGGGCGGACGGACACACUGGGACUGAGACACGGCCCAGACUCCUACGGGAGGCAGCAGUGGGGAAUUGUUCGCAAUGGGCGCAAGCCUGACGACGCAACGCCGCGUGGAGGAUGAAGGUCUUCGGAUUGUAAACUCCUGUUGCCCGGGACGAAUGGCUCCGACCUAACACGUCGGAGUGUGACGGUACCGGGUGGGGAAGCCCCGGCUAACUCUGUGCCAGCAGCCGCCGCCGUAAC
rnacentral:rRNA from 1 species